ACCAAAACAAAAAAAAAAAGACCUCCAAAGUCAUCGUAUUUCUACUCGGUUUAUGUCUUGCCGUCCCAAUCACAUGUUUGCCAGAUUAUCACCGAGUUACAUGGCAACGAGGAAUUGAUCCGGCCUCUACUCUUCAGUUUGUGACACUUCGCGUGGGUGAUUACCUCGGUAAGAUUCGUACCCUCAUAAACUCGAUCGAUUAUCGACUGGCUUUUUUCUAUCUUCUGUGGUAUUAAUUAAUCAAUUACUAGCUGCGUGUUUAAUAUUUUAUCCAAGAAUGUGUUUUAACUCCUAAUUUAUCAUCUCACUGUUAAGUUUUUUUCUUUUCUUUUAAUUUGUGUAGAUUUCAUUAACCCAGAGGCACUCCCGAUUGCGGAAGUUGAUCAAACAGAUUAUGCACAUUGUACCUGGACGGAUGUUAUUUAUGAUCUUCCUGACGCUGUUGUCCCUUUUAAGCUUACUGAAUCUCGUACUUACUACUUCGCGUCUGAUCCUUUUUUCUGUUACAAAGGGUUGAAGCUUGAGGCCCAAGUUUAUCCAGCAUAAUGGACAAAAGUCAGCAGGGACGAGGUGGGAAGUCCGAGCUUCGUUGAAGAAAGCUUCAUGAACAAAAACACAAUGGUUGCCUUACUAAGCACCAUUGAUUAUCAACCGUGAUUUGCUUGUUUAUUUGCAGUUAUUGAUCCCUUCCUUCAUGCUGGUGCGAUUUUUUUUUGUUUUUUUUUUUUUGUGGUUGUCUCCAAGCUUCGAUUUGUGUUUCUUUGGUUUGUAUUCGUAAAUGAAACUUUCAAUAAAGUAAUGCUUGAAUGUUUUAAUCUACGAUGAUUUUAGCUAUUAUUGCUAGAGUUCUUAUCCUUCUUUUGCAGAGGUUGAUAUAUUCGUUUUUUAUUUUUUUGGUGGAAAAGGAGAAAAU
rnacentral:lncRNA from 1 species